rnacentral:rRNA from 1 species
AUUGAACGCUGGCGGCAGGCCUAACACAUGCAAGUCGAGCGAGCGGCGGACGGGUGAGUAAUGUCGGGGUGACUGCCUGAUGGAGGGGGAGAACAAAAGGAGACGGUAGCUAAUACAGCAUACAAUCAGAUGUGCCCCGAUGUGAUUAGCUAGUGGGUGGGGUAAUGGCCCACCAAGGCGACGAUCACUAGCUGGUGUGAGAGGAUGUCCAGCCACACUGGAACUGAGACACGGUCCAGACUCCUACGGGAGGCAGCAGUGGGGAAUAUUGCACAAUGGGCGAAAGCCUGAUGCAGCCAUGCCGCGUGUAUGAAGAAGGCCUUCGGGUUGUAAAGUACUUUAAGCGGGGAGGCGUUACCCGCAGAAGAAGCACCGGCUAACUCCGUGCCAGCAGCCGCGGUAAUUC